CCUACGGGGGGCAGCAGUGGGGAAUAUUGGGCAAUGGGCGCAAGCCUGACCCAGCAACGCCGCGUGAAGGAAGAAGGCUUUCGGGUUGUAAACUUCUUUUGUCAGGGAAGAGUAGAAGACGGUACCUGACGAAUAAGCCACGGCUAACUACGUGCCAGCAGCCGCGGUAAUACGUAGGUGGCAAGCGUUGUCCGGAUUUACUGGGUGUAAAGGGCGUGUGGCCGGGUUGACAAGUCAGAUGGGAAGUCCUGCGGCUUAACCGCAGAACUGCAUUUGAAACUGGUGAUCUGGUGUACUGGGGAGGCAGACGGAAUUGCGAGUGUAGCGGUGAAAUGCGUAGAUAUUAGGAGGAACACCAGUGGCGAAGGCGGUCUGCUGGACAGCAACUGACGGUGAGGCGCGAAAGCGUGGGGAGCAAACAGGAUUAGAUACCCGAGUAGUC
rnacentral:rRNA from 1 species